ensembl:lncRNA
CAGGACGUUAGGUGAGCUGAGAAGCGGAGCUGAACCGCAACCUUUCGACCUCAAUCUCCGUGGAGUGUUUCUCUGCCCAUCGCCUGCGAGUCAUUGAACAGUCGAGAAGGACUCCGGCACUGCAUGUCGAGGUUGUAUUUGUAAAUCUGGUGUUUAUCUUGGAGUAUAAAGGAGGCUCUCGGUGAGUAAUAGCAGCACGGGUUGCAGAACGUGGCUUCAUCCUCAGCGGCCAACAGCGCUGCUCUUAAAUCCGCUCCAAAGAAACAAAAUGCACAAAGAGUAUAACGGGUGGACGGUGGAAAGGUCGGAGGGCGAACGAUCAGAAGUCACUGACACUGACGCCUAUCAACGAGCUACAAGAAGCUGGAUCACUUCUCUUUACCGGUUCUGAAGGGAUGUUCCUGUGGUUUACAUCUAUUUCAAAGAACUGCAGAUUUCAGAGCUUCCAUGAGUACAUGUAACCCAUCAUAUGUCCACUGACGCCUCUGUUUUGGGGUUUUGAAAAGGGAGCACGUGUGUGUUUGGCACUGGAUUAAGCGUCCAACUGGAAAUGAAUGAUCAGUAAACCCCCCGGUAGCUAAAGGCAAGUGGACCGCUUCUCGCUCCAUUUUCUUUCCCGUCCCUUCCAUAUCGCUCUUUACGUUGCGCGCCGUGUUCUCAAAUCCCCGUCGGGAUUCAGGGCUUGAUGGUGAUUUUCCAUGACAAGGUAUGAAAACAGCAUGGGGAGGGGUGGUGCAUCACCUGCUCGCCGCUCUUUUGGCCACAUGGAUUAAUGAGAAGCACAUUUCGACAAAGGCUUCCAUUUCCGUGAUGAAAAUUUCAUUUCAGCAGCGUCUCUGUCGACUGGUCACGUAGGCGCCGGCGGUCAACUGUCACUCAGGCCACGCCCCCCGCCCCCCAGGAUCCAGGCUCCUCAGUUAAUGAGUUCAGACGCGACGAGUCCAUCGCUGUUGUCUGCAUCCCUCCCAAAGUCUUCUGAGCCGUAAUCCUCGGUGGAGCAUCAAACAUACCCGACUUCCCAGUUCGGCGGAGCCAGCAUCGGUAGCGGGGGCCGGUUUGGGUGGCGUGACUUCUCAGAGAGGCAGAUUGUCUGGGGCUCGACCAGGGACACAAGCUGCGAAAGGUCUUCAUCUGUCCCACAUUUCCUGUGUCCCUUCUCCAUCUGUGGUCCCAGUGAAACUGCACAGCACCUGCCAAUCACCCGGCGCCCCACAUCGUCCCCUCCUACGCUGUCUGGCAGAUGGAAGCUGGAUUGCGGUGGGCCACGAAGCAGGGGUCGGAUAUCUGAGGAGGACACCAAAGGAACCGGACACGAUCGAACCCAGCACCCCCUCCAGCUCCUCAGAGAAGGUCGUCCAAGAGACGACCACCUGCAGCCCGACGGUCGGGGGUCCCGUCGCCGGCGUUCCGUCCGAGGCCACCUCUCAAAGCCCGGCCCUAAAUCAAACCCCUCUUUGUACCGUGGUGCACCGCCCAGAGCGAGACUCUCUCCUCGAGGGCCAACCUACGUCUUUCUUCCGCUUUUCGAGGCAGGACUUGGCGUCCGUGUCGGUGUGUUAAAUGGGCCACAUGUUCCAGCCAACAACUCAUCCCUCUGUCACAGGGAACGGUACGACACACGAACUCUCAUUCAAAAUUAACCGCGCAAUAAAAGAUUGAUUUCCAAAAAAAUGUUUUUUUAU